rnacentral:rRNA from 1 species
GGCCGCGGUAUUCUGACUGUGCAAAGGUAGCAUAAUCAUUAGUUCAUUAAUUGUGAACUUGUAUGAAUGGUUGGACGAAAUAUUUACUGUCUCAAUUAAAUAUAUUGAAUUUAAAUUUUGAGUUAAAAUGCUCAAUUGUUUUUAUAGGACGAGAAGACCCUAUAGAUCUUUAUUUUUAAUUUUAUUAUUUGUUUUAGUUUAUUUAUUUAUAAUAUUUUUAUAUUUUUGGUUGGGGUGACAUGGAGAUAAUAUUAACUCUCUAUUUUAUUUUACAUUUAUUUUUGAAUUAUUGACCUUGUAUUAUUGUUAUAAGAUUUAGAUACCUUAGGGAUAACAGCGUAAUUUUAUCUGAGAGUUCAUAUUGACGAUAUAGAUUGCGACCUCGAUGUUGAAUUAAGAUUAUAAUUAGGUGAAGUAGUUUAAUUAUUGGGUCUGUUCGACCUUUAAAUUCUUACAUGAUCUGAGUUCAAA